AAGAACUUACCAGGCCUUGACAUACUCGGCAAAGCGUCUAGAGAUAGAGUGGAGGUUAUCCGGGAUACAGGUGGUGCAUGGUUGUCGUCAGCUCGUGUCGUGAGAUGUUGGGUUAAGUCCCGCAACGAGCGCAACCCUUGUCUUUAGUUACCAUCAUUAAGUUGGGGACUCUAGAGAGACUGCCGGUGAUAAACCGGAGGAAGUGGGGAUGACGUCAAAUCAUCAUGCCCCUUAUGGCCUGGGCUACAAACGUAAUACAAUGGCGUAUACAAAGGGAUGCGAAAGGGCGACCUGGAGCAAAACUCACAAAGUACGUCUCAGUUCAGAUUGGAGUCUGCAACUCGACUCCAUGAAGGCGGAAUCGCUAGUAAUCGCGGAUCAGCAUGCCGCGGUGAAUACGUUCUCGGGGUUU
rnacentral:rRNA from 1 species